rnacentral:rRNA from 1 species
GACGAACGCUGGCGGCGGGCCUAAUACAUGCAAGUCGAACGCAGUGGGGAAGGGUUAGUAACACGUGGGUAACCUCCCAUCAGAGGGGAUAACACUUGGAAACAGGUGCUAAACCGAUACUGAUGGAUGGACCCGCGGGGCAUUAGCUAGUUGGUGAGUUAACGGCUCACCAAGGCCACGAUGCAUAGCGGAUCGGAGAGGGUGCCCCGCCACACUGGGACUGAGACACGGCCCAGACUCCUACGGGUGGCAGCAGUCGGGAAUCUUCGGCAAUGGGCGAAACCCUGAUCGAGCAACGCCGCGUGAGUGAAGAAGGCUUUCGGAUUGUAAAUCUCUGUUGUUAGCGAAGCGUUAUCUACAGAGAAAGCAUCGGCUAACUACGUGCCAGCAGCCGCGGUAAUAC